AUGAACGCUGGCGGCGUGCCUAAUACAUGCAAGUCGCGCGAACGGACGAGAAGCUUGCUUCUCUGAUGUUAGCGGCGGACGGGUGAGUAACACGUGGAUAACCUACCUAUAAGACUGGGAUAACUUCGGGAAACCGGAGCUAAUACCGGAUAAUAUUUUGAACCGCAUGGUUCAAAAGUGAAAGACGGUCUUGCUUUCACUUAUAGAUGGAUCCGCGCUGCAUUAGCUAGUUGGUAAGGUAACGGCUUACCAAGGCAACGAUGCAUAGCCGACCUGAGAGGGUGAUCGGCCACACUGGAACUGAGACACGGUCCAGACUCCUACGGGAGGCAGAAGUAGGGAAUCUUCCGCAAUGGGCGAAAGCCUGACGGAGCAACGCCGCGUGAGUGAUGAAGGUCUUCGGAUCGUAAAACUCUGUUAUUAGGGAAGAACAUAUGUGUAAGUAACUGUGCACAUCUUGACGGUACCUAAUCAGAAAGCCACGGCUAACUACGUG
rnacentral:rRNA from 1 species